CAAGUCCCUGUCAGGCAAGGUUUAACCAACCACCUGUAUCGAGUGUUGCGCCUUUGGCGGAGUUUGAGAUUAGCCGAUGCUUUUCAGUGAGCGAUCACAAUCAAGCGAACAAAAUUGGUGAAGCGUACACAGAGAAUUAUAUAGGCCAUAGGGGUUGUCGUGAUCCUGAAGUACUGGUAUCGCUCCGAUAAAUAUUAGGUCUGACUGACGAGGUUUGUAACGCCAUCGAAGUCCAUGCAAAGCAGCCGUGUUGGUAAGGUUGUGGCGAGUCAGCGGGGUUAUCAAGUC
rfam:Moritella viscosa genome assembly, chromosome: 1